GGAUGUGAGGGAGAUCUGGCUGCGACAUCUGUCACCCCAUUGAUCGCCAGGGUUGAUUCGGCUGGCUAGGCUAGCUCCUCCCUCACCGCUCCAUGUGAGUCUCUCCCUCCCGGAAGCUGCGUGCACGGUCGAAGAGGACGACCAUCCCCGAUAGAGGAGGACCUUUUUCUGUCAAGGCCCUCCUCUGCUGCGUUCCCCUGCUAGAACCUCCAAACAAGCUCCUUAGAACCUCCAAACACGCUCUCAAGAGUAAAAGUCAAAUGGCACAACUAUAAAAACGGCAGCCUCUUACCAU
rnacentral:snRNA from 1 species